UCUUUGGCUCUUUGCCUGCCUGGCCAGCGAGCGUCGCUGAUCGAUGGGGCUCCGGCCUUUUCCGCCUAAGUAUUCUCCGAGUUCGAGGACCCCUACUCCUCCUCCACCUCCUUAUCUCUCUCGAUGCGAUCACAAUCGAGCUAGAAAUUCGAGGAUAAGCAGCGGCCAGUGAUGAAUUCAACAGUGGCCAUCAGCGGUGGCGGACGGCGAUGGACCCUAGAGCUAUAGAACGGGUCAUUCAUUGCAGUGAGAAGGCUUGAUCAAAACAGAAGUAUGCGGAAAAUUUAAUUUUCUUCAUCUGCAAAUGAUGUGGUCUAUUUGGUAUGGGAAUAUGAUUUAUAACAUUGCCAUGUUAGUCAAUUUUCUGUUGUAUUCUUGAUGGAAUAUUUAGAGGUUACUAUUUUGAUUUCAUGCUAUGUGGGUA
rnacentral:lncRNA from 1 species